rnacentral:rRNA from 1 species
CAGUAGCCGCGGGAACACGGAGGGGGCUAGCGUUGUUCGGAAUUACUGGGCGUAAAGCGCACGUAGGCGGCUUGGUAAGUUAGAGGUGAAAGCCCGGAGCUCAACUCCGGAAUUGCCUUUAAGACUGCCGAGCUAGCAGGUGAGAGAGGUAAGUGGAAUUCCGAGUGUAGAGGUGAAAUUCGUAGAUAUUCGGAAGAACACCAGUGGCGAAGGCGGCUUACUGGCUCAUACUGGACGCUGAGGUGCGAAAGCGUGGGGAGCAAACAGGAUUAGAUACCCCGGUAGUCCCUGUCUCUUAUAC